GAUGAACGCUAGCGACAGGCUUAACACAUGCAAGUCGAGGGGUAACAGGGUAGCAAUACCGCUGACGACCGGCGCACGGGUGAGUAACGCGUAUGCAACCUGCCUAUAACUGGGGAAUAGCUCCCUGAAAGGGGAAUUAACACCGCAUAACACUAUUGAUUCGCAUGGAUUGGUAGUUAAAUGUAGCGAUACAGGUUAUAGAUGGGCAUGCGUGACAUUAGCUAGUUGGUGAGGUAACGGCUCAACCAAGGCUACGAUGUCUAGGGGUUCUGAGAGGAAGGUCCCCCAACUGGUACUGAGACACGGACCAGACUCCUACGGGAGCAGCAGUGAGGAAUAUUGGUCAAAUGGGCGCAAGCCUGAACCAGCCAUGUCGCGUGCAGGAAGACUGCCCUAUGGGUUGUAAACUGCUUUUAUAGUUAGAAGAAACACAUCUAGCGUAGAUGUCUGCCAGUAUACUAUGAAUAAGCAUCGGA
rnacentral:rRNA from 1 species